rnacentral:rRNA from 1 species
UGUUAAGUGGAAAAGGAUGUGGGGUUGCUUAGACAACCAGGAUGUUGGCUUAGAAGCAGCCACCAUUGAAAGAGUGCGUAAUAGCUCACUGGUCGAGUGACCCCGCGCCGAAAAUGUACCGGGGCUAAACAUAUUACCGAAACUGUGGAUGAACCUCUUUAGAGGUUCGUGGUAGGAGAGCGUUCUAAGGGCGGUGAAGUCAGACCGGAAGGACUGGUGGAGCGCUUAGAAGUGAGAAUGCCGGUAUGAGUAGCGAAAGAAGGGUGAGAAUCCCUUCCACCGAAUAUCUAAGGUUUCCUGAGGAAGGCUCGUCCGCUCAGGGUUAGUCGGGACCUAAGCCGAGGCCGAUAGGCGUAGGCGAUGGACAACAGGUAGAGAUUCCUGUACCAGUGCUAAUUGUUUAACCGAUGGGGUGACACAGAAGGAUAGGGAAUCGCACGAAUGGAAAUGUGCGUCCAAGCAGUGAGUGUGAGAAGUAGGCAAAUCCGCUUCUCGCGAAGCAUGAGCUGUGAUGGGGAAGGAAAUUAAGUACGGAAGUUCCUGAUUUCACGCUGUCAAGAAAAGCCUCUAGGAAGAGUAGUACUGCCCGUACCGCAAACCGACACAGGUAGAUGAGGAGAGAAUCCUAAGGUGAGCGAGAGAACUCUCGUUAAGGAACUCGGCAAAAUGACCCCGUAACUUCGGGAGAAGGGGUGCUCUAUUAGGGUGCAAGCCCGAGAGAGCCGCAGUGAAUAGGCCCAGGCGACUGUUUAGCAAAAACACAGGUCUCUGCAAAACCGUAAGGUGACGUAUAGGGGCUGACGCCUGCCCGGUGCUGGAAGGUUAAGAGGAGUGCUUAGCUUCGGCGAAGGUACGAAUUGAAGCCCCAGUAAACGGCGGCCGUAACUAUAACGGUCCUAAGGUAGCGAAAUUCCUUGUCGGGUAAGUUCCGACCCGCACGAAAGGCGCAACGAUCUGGGCACUGUCUCAACGAGAGACUCGGUGAAAUUAUAGUACCUGUGAAGAUGCAGGUUACCCGCGACAGGACGGAAAGACCCCGUGGAGCUUUACUGCAACCUGAUAUGGAAUGUUUGUACCGCUUGUACAGGAUAGGUAGGAGCCGAAGAGACGUGUGCGCUAGCAUACGAGGAGGCAAUGGUGGGAUACUACCCUGGCUGUAUGACCAUUCUAACCCGCCACGCUUAGCGCGUGGGGAGACAGUGUCAGGUGGGCAGUUUGACUGGGGCGGUCGCCUCCUAAAGAGUAACGGAGGCGCCCAAAGGUUCCCUC